ACUGAAACAUCUAAGUAGGGCGAGGAAGAGAAAUCAACCGAGAUUCCGCUAGUAGUGGCGAGCGAACGCGGAAGAGGCCAAACCGGAGGUAGCAAUAUUUCCGGGGUUAGGACUGCAAUAUGUAACUUUAAUCUUUAACUGAAUGCUUUGGGAAGAGCAGCGAUACAGGGUGACAGCCCCGUAAGUGAAAAGGAUUGAGUGCUAGCAGUAUCCAGAGUACCAGCGGACACGUGAAACCCGCUGGGAAGAUGGGGGGACCAUCCUCCAAGCCUAAAUACUACUCAGUGACCGAUAGUGGAGCAGUACCGUGAGGGAAAGGUGAAAAGUACCCCGGGAGGGGAGUGAAAAAGAACCUGAAACCUUGUGCCUACAAGCACCGAGAGUCCGUUAAUGGAUGAUCGGGUACUUUUUGUAGAACGGUCCGGCGAGUUAAUAUUUGCAGCGAGGUUAAGGAACUGGAGUUCCGGAGCCGCAGCGAGAGCGAGUCUGAAAAGGGCGUAUGAAGUUGCAGGUAUUAGACCCGAAACCGGGUGACCUAUCCAUGAGCAGGCUGAAGCGGUGGUAAGACACCGUGGAGGGCCGCACCCACGUCUGUUGAAAAAGCCGGGGAUGACUUGUGGAUAGCGGAGAAAUUCCAAUCGAACUCGGAGAUAGCUGGUUCUCCCCGAAAUAGCUUUAGGGCUAGCGUUAUUUUAGAUUACCGGAGGUAAAGCACUGAAUGGUCUAGGGGCCGCGAGGUUACCAAAGCCUAUCAAACUCUGAAUGCCGGAUAAUUGAUGAAUAGCAGUCAGACUGUGUGAGAUAAGUCUCAUAGUCAAAAGGGAAACAGCCCAGAUCUACAGCUAAGGUCCCAAAUGAACACUAAGUGGAAAAUGAUGUGAAACUGCGAAGACAACCAGGAUGUUGGCUUAGAAGCAGCCACUCAUUCAAAGAGUGCGUAAUAGCUCACUGGUCGAGUGGUUUUGCGCAGAAAAUGUAACGGGGCUAAGUGUUCAACCGAAGCUUAGGCAUUGUACUUUGUACAUUGGGUAGGGGAGCGUCGUAUGCGGGGCGAAGUCAGAGCGGAAGCACUGGUGGACUGCAUACGAGUGAGAAUGCCGGAAUAAGUAGCGAGAAUUAUGUGAGAAUCAUAAUGGCCGAAAAUCUAAGGUUUCUUGGGGAAGGUUCGUCCGCCCAAGGUUAGUCGGGAGCUAAGCUCAGGCCGAAAGGCGUAGGCGAUGCACAUACGGUAGAAAUUCCGUAACCACCGAACAUUUAAGCUAGAGGGACGCUUUCUUUAAGGUUAUCCCGGGCGAUGGUUGCCCCGGGCGUAAGGGACCGAAAUAUAGUAGGGAAGUAGAUGGCGAGAGAGACGAGAAAAGCUCUAGUGUAUACUAAGGUGCCCGUACCGCAAACCGACACAGGUAGAUGGGAUGAGUAUUCUAAGGCCAACGGGAGAAGGGUUGUUAAGGAACUCGGCAAAUUGGCCCCGUAACUUCGGGAUAAGGGGCGCCUGCGAGAGCAGGCCGCAGUGAAAAGGCCCAAGCGACUGUUUAGCAAAAACACAGCUCUCUGCUAAAUCGAAAGAUGACGUAUAGGGGGUGACGCCUGCCCGGUGCUGGAAGGUUAAGGGGAGUGCUUAGCGCAAGCGAAGGUGCGAACUUAAGCCCCAGUAAACGGCGGCCGUAACUAUAACGGUCCUAAGGUAGCGAAAUUCCUUGUCAGGUAAGUUCUGACCCGC
rnacentral:rRNA from 1 species